CAGAGACUAGACAUGAAUCCAACCAAUGAAUUUUGCUUCUUAAUAUCCUCCAGAUAAAAAUUUGACUCUAUCAGUAGUACAUAUCCUUCACAUAAGUCCCCAUAAGUGAACCCAUCAAAUUAACAAACCAAGAGAUGCUAUAUUUACAAAUUGAGGUUGAGUGGCUUUUCUUCUGGCCCAUAAAGUCCCUUGAACUCUGCUACGUAUGUGUUAUAGCCC
rnacentral:lncRNA from 1 species